rnacentral:rRNA from 1 species
GACGAACGCUGGCGGCGUGCCUAAUACAUGCAAGUCGAGCGAGCUUGCCUAGAUGAAUUUGGUGCUUGCACCAAAUGAAACUAGAUACAAGCGAGCGGCGGACGGGUGAGUAACACGUGGGUAACCUGCCCAAGAGACUGGGAUAACACCUGGAAACAGAUGCUAAUACCGGAUAACAACACUAGACGCAUGUCUAGAGUUUAAAAGAUGGUUCUGCUAUCACUCUUGGAUGGACCUGCGGUGCAUUAGCUAGUUGGUAAGGUAACGGCUUACCAAGGCAAUGAUGCAUAGCCGAGUUGAGAGACUGAUCGGCCACAUUGGGACUGAGACACGGCCCAAACUCCUACGGGAGGCAGCAGUAGGGAAUCUUCCACAAUGGACGCAAGUCUGAUGGAGCAACGCCGCGUGAGUGAAGAAGGGUUUCGGCUCGUAAAGCUCUGUUGGUAGUGAAGAAAGAUAGAGGUAGUAACUGGCNNUUAUUUGACGGUAAUUACUUAGAAAGUCACGGCUAACUACGUGCCAGCAGCCGCGGUAAUACGUAGGUGGCAAGCGUUGUCCGGAUUUAUUGGGCGUAAAGCGAGUGCAGGCGGUUCAAUAAGUCUGAUGUGAAAGCCUUCGGCUCAACCGGAGAAUUGCAUCAGAAACUGUUGAACUUGAGUGCAGAAGAGGAGAGUGGAACUCCAUGUGUAGCGGUGGAAUGCGUAGAUAUAUGGAAGAACACCAGUGGCGAAGGCGGCUCUCUGGUCUGCAACUGACGCUGAGGCUCGAAAGCAUGGGUAGCGAACAGG